UUGAUAUUCAAAUUGUUAAGUAAACAUAUACAUAAGUCAAUAUAAUGAUUCUUUAUACUAGUAGACUAUUUAAGUGACAUAUGGUACAAAUAUUUUAGUUUAAAUUUAAAAUUUUAAAGUGUUCAUAUUUAUUUUGUCCUUGAAAUAUUUUAUGGAAUCUAUAACUUUUUAGUAAAAUUACCUUGAUCGCGUUAACAUUAAUUUAGUAGAUUUGAAGGAUUCAAUGUCCAAAUAGUCUUAAAUAAAAACUGAUACAACUUUUAUUCGGACUGAACUAAAAAAAUAAUUAUAAUUUAAAAAUUUAGACUGGAGAUGAGAUGCAAGUAUGGUAAUAUAGACAUUUCUCGGGCGCACCUCACCUUCCGUCUAGUUAGUUAAAUAUGUAUGUUGCUACUUGAAAAGACAAAGUUGACACCCAUAUAAGGUACAAGGGAUGAAUUAAAAAAGUAAUGAAAAACUAAUAAAUCAAGAAAUAUAUGAGACUAAAAAAUAAUUCACUUAACAUAAAUAUUAUUUUAAGAGUAAUCGAAUGGUUGACACUAAAAGAAUUACCUUAUAUAAAGUACAUAAUCUGUAAAACUAUAAUAUAUUCUAUUUUGAACCAUUUGAAGCAUUAAAAAUUGAAUUAUAGGUAUGUAUAUAUAAUUUCUAAUUGACUAAUCGAUUCCAUUAAUAAAUUAAAAUAAG